CGGAUAAAAGAACAUGUCAAAUCAAUGUUUGAGACGAACGUGAAGCUCCAGGCAGGUAAAUUACAUUACCUUUAUUACUGAAUUGGGUAUGCUGAUAUGCUAUGUGACUGUAAAAUAGGGUUAAUAUAAUUCAUUGUCAAAUUUUCUUUAACAGGAAAAUGCAAAAGGUAUUAUUGCAGUGCACCUGAUGCUGAGAGACUUGUGAGUGUCUUUAGUUGGCAAUGUCAUGUUGGCCUAUUCAUAACCAACAUUUUAUAUUUUCUGAACUGAGAUUUGGAAAAAGUGGAUUUGUCUCUUGAUAGUCCACAAACUGGAUUAUGCUAGUACUUCGGAGGAAGCAAAAAUCACUAAGCAAAAAUCACUAAUUUAACGAGACAUUGGCCGUACACAGGAUGCGUGUGUUGCAUGCCAUCUCUGAGAAGCUGUGUUCCAAAGGCUGAGAAGCAUGAGCUUCAGGACCAAAUCACAGACCUACAAAAGCAGAGGCUAGAUCUAAAGUGUCUCACUCAUGAAGAUGGACGAGUUGAAGAGGGAGCCUCCCCGAGGCGGAGAAGUACAGAAACAUCCUGCAGAAAGGCCAGUCUCACCUUGAGAAAUACCAGAAGAUGGCCACCAUCACACAGAAUAUCCUGCGGGGGAUCAUCGUUGCCAGUGAAGUGAACUGGCGAGAUGAUGACCCCAAACUGAGAGACAUCACCAUGACGUUGUAGGACAUUCCCAUCUCU